GUGUCAGCAGCCGCGGUAAUACGGAGGGGGCUAGCGUUGUUCGGAAUUACUGGGCGUAAAGCGCACGUAGGCGGACGGUCAAGUUGGGGGUGAAAGCCCGAGGCUCAACCUCGGAAUUGCCUUCAAAACUGAUCGUCUCGAGGCCGGGAGAGGGCAGUGGAAUUCCCAGUGUAGAGGUGAAAUUCGUAGAUAUUGGGAAGAACACCGGUGGCGAAGGCGGCUGCCUGGCCCGGACCUGACGCUGAGGUGCGAAAGCGUGGGGAGCGAACAGGAUUAGAUACCCUGGUAGUCCACGCCGUAAACGAUGGGUGCUAGGUGUCGGAGGACUUAGUUCUUCGGUGCCGCAGCUAACGCGUUAAGCACCCCGCCUGGGGAGUACGGCCGCAAGGCUAAAACUUAAAUGAAUUGACGGGG
rnacentral:rRNA from 1 species